UGGAGCAUUGUGGUUUAAUUCGACGCAACGCGAAGAACCUUACCAGGGCUUGACAUCCCCUGACCGCGUAUGAAAGUACGUUUUCACCCUCGGGUGACAGGGAGACAGGUGGUGCAUGGUUGUCGUCAGCUCGUGUCGUGAGAUGUUGGGUUAAGUCCCGCAACGAGCGCAACCCCUACGUUUAGUUUGCUAACGCGUGAAGGCGAGCACUCUAGACGAACUGCCGUUGACAAAACGGAGGAAGGUGGGGAUGACGUCAAAUCAUCAUGCCCCUUAUGUUCUGGGCUACACACGUGCUACAAUGGCCGGUACAGACGGACGCAAAGCCGCGAGGUGGAGCAAAUCCUAAAAAGCCGGUCUCAGUUCGGAUUGCAGGCUGCAAUUCGCCUGCAUGAAGUCGGAAUCGCUAGUAAUCGCAGGUCAGCAUACUGCGGUGAAUACGUUUCCGGGCCUU
rnacentral:rRNA from 1 species